ensembl:lncRNA
UGCUGUACUGUCUAUAACUACCUUUCUAUACCUCAGCUAUAGCCUACAUAUCAUAGAUGACCAGCCUAAACCAGUGGGUUGUUAGUGAUAUGUUAUAUUAUGUAAAGUAGACUAGGUUAUAAUGUAUAGUAGUGGGUUGUUAGUGAUAUGUUAUAUUAUGUAAAGUAGACUAGGUUAUAAUGUAUAAUAGCAGUUUGUUAGUGAUAUGCAGAUCAAGGUCUAUACCUCGGCUAUAGCCUACAUAUCAUAGAUGACCAGUCUAAACCUGUUCAGAUCAGUUCACAUAAUGUUAUAGUCCUACCAGUAGCAGGACAGAGAAUGUACUGU